rnacentral:rRNA from 1 species
GACAGAGGGUGCAACCGUUGUUCGGAAUCACUGGGCUUAAAGGGCGCGUAGGCGGGCUAUCAAGUCCGGGGUGAAAUCCUCCAGCUCAACUGGAGAACGGCCUCGGAUACUGAUGGUCUCGAGGGGGAUAGGGGCACGCGGAACUGUGGGUGGAGCGGUGAAAUGCGUUGAUAUCCAUAGGAACUCCGGUGGCGAAAGCGGCGUGCUGGAUCCCUUCUGACGCUGAGGCGCGAAAGCCAGGGGAGCAAACGGG